UUACGGUCAUAUCAGGUUGAAACACCAGUUUCUGUACGAUCACCGAUGUUAAGCAACGUUGAGACUGGUAAGUACCUAGAUGGGUGACCGCUUGGGAACGCCAAGUCCUGUAA